CUUCCCGUGGUGUAGUUGGCAACGCGCCUGCCUAUUGAGAAGGAGUCGUGAGUUCGAGUCUCACCGAGAGGA
rfam:Aedes albopictus isolate Foshan contig57030, whole genome shotgun sequence.